CACGGAGUUAGCCGAUGCUUUUUCUUCGGAUACACGCAGUCCGGGACACGUCCCGGGUUUUGUUCUCCGACAAAAGAGGUUUACAACCCAUAGGGCCGUCUUCCCUCACGCGGCUUGGCUGGUUCAGGAUCUCUCCCAUUGACCAAUAUUCCUCACUGCUGCCUCCCGUAGGAAUCUGGUCCGUGUCUCAGUACCAGUGUGGGGGACCUUCCUCUCAGAACCCCUACGCAUCGUCGCCACGGUGGGCCGUUACCCCGCCGUCAAGCUAAUGCGCCGCAUGCCCAUCCUCUUCCGAUGAAUCUUUCCUCGAUCUCGGAUGCCCGAAACCGAUAUACGCGGGAUUAGCCUCCCUUUCGGAAGGUUGUCCCCCUGAAGAGGGCAGGUUGCAUACGUGUUACUCACCCGUGCGCCGGUCGCCGGCAAGGAAAGCAAGCUUCCCUCCCGAUGCCCCUCGACUUGCAUGUGUUAAGCCUGCCGCUAGCGUUCAUCCUGAGCCAGGAUCAAACUC
rnacentral:rRNA from 1 species